rnacentral:rRNA from 1 species
UACGUAGGCAGCAAGCGUUGUUCGGAGUUACUGGGCGUAAAGGGUGUGUAGGCGGUUCUUUUAAGUUUUGCUGUGAAAUCUCCCGGCUUAACCGGGAGGGUGCGGUGAAUACUGAGGGACUAGAGUACGGGAGAGGAAAGUGGAAUUCCUGGUGUAGCGGUGAAAUGCGUAGAUAUCAGGAGGAACACCGGUGGUGUAGACGGCUUUCUGGACCGUAACUGACGCUGAAACACGAAAGCGUGGGUAGCAAACAGG